rnacentral:rRNA from 1 species
AUGAGUCACCGUCGAAGUUUGGCCUGGCAGUUUUGUGAUUACUCCUCCGAAGAUGAGGAACUCAUGAUGGCUGCAAUUGUAGUAGAGGAAGAAGAAGCCCGGUUGGAUGCUCCACGACAUGGAGGUUCACAACCGAGACAUCAAUCUCUUCAGCGCGAUUUUGCGGAACACUUUCAAAACCUCCACAAGGACUAUUUUGCAGAGAACCCCACCUUCAAGGCAAUGAUGUUUCGCAAGAGGUAUGAAAUUGGUGCAUCUGUUUCGUUUUCACCAUAG